rnacentral:rRNA from 1 species
UGAGGAAUAUUGGUCAAUGGGCGGGAGCCUGAACCAGCCAAGCCGCGUGAAGGAGGAAGGCGCCAGGCGUCGUAAACUUCUUUUGGUCGGGGAACAAAGGGCGCCACGCGUGGCGUUGUGAGUGUACCCGAAGAAAAAGCAUCGGCUAACUCCGUGCC